UUCUCCAAACCACUCUCUCUCUCCUCCCUCUCUCUCUCCUCAUAUUUAUACUUGUCUUUCUCUCUGUCUUUUUCAUCUCAUUGCUCUGUUUUCCUCUGUUUUCUGUUUCAUUCCAUUUUUUCUCCCUCUUCUUCCACGCCCAUUUUCCCAAACUCCAUUCCCACCUCUCUUUCAUCAUUCUGA